UACGUAGGGCGCAAGCGUUAUCCGGAAUUAUUGGGCGUAAAGAGCUCGUAGGCGGUUUGUCGCGUCUGCCGUGAAAGUCCGGGGCUCAACUCCGGAUCUGCGGUGGGUACGGGCAGACUAGAGUGAUGUAGGGGAGACUGGAAUUCCAGGUGUAGCGGUGAAAUGCGUAGAUAUCUGGAGGAACACCGGUGGCGAAGGCGGCAUCCUGGACCGGCAUUGACGCUGAGGCGCGAAAGCCAGGGGAGCAAACGGG
rnacentral:rRNA from 1 species